GAUUAAGUUAUUAAGGGCGCACGGUGGAUGCCUUGGCACUAGAAGCCGAUGAAGGACGUUACUAACGACGAUAUGCUUUGGGGAGCUGUAAGUAAGCUUUGAUCCAGAGAUUUCCGAAUGGGGAAACCCAGCAUGAGUUAUGUCAUGUUAUCGAUAUGUGAAUACAUAGCAUAUCAGAAGGCACACCCGGAGAACUGAAACAUCUUAGUACCCGGAGGAAGAGAAAGAAAAUUCGAUUCCCUUAGUAGCGGCGAGCGAAACGGGAAGAGCCCAAACCAACAAGCUUGCUUGUUGGGGUUGUAGGACACUCUAUACGGAGUUACAAAGGACGACAUUAGACGAAUCAUCUGGAAAGAUGAAUCAAAGAAGGUAAUAAUCCUGUAGUCGAAAAUGUUGUCUCUCUUGAGUGGAUCCUGAGUACGACGGAGCACGUGAAAUUCCGUCGGAAUCUGGGAGGACCAUCUCCUAAGGCUAAAUACUCUCUAGUGACCGAUAGUGAACCAGUACCGUGAGGGAAAGGUGAAAAGCACCCCGGAAGGGGAGUGAAAUAGAACCUGAAACCGUGUGCUUACAAGUAGUCAGAGCCCGUUAAUGGGUGAUGGCGUGCCUUUUGUAGAAUGAACCGGCGAGUUACGAUUUGAUGCAAGGUUAAGCAGUAAAUGUGGAGCCGUAGCGAAAGCGAGUCUGAAUAGGGCGUUUAGUAUUUGGUCGUAGACCCGAAACCAGGUGAUCUACCCUUGGUCAGGUUGAAGUUCAGGUAACACUGAAUGGAGGACCGAACCGACUUACGUUGAAAAGUGAGCGGAUGAACUGAGGGUAGCGGAGAAAUUCCAAUCGAACCUGGAGAU
rnacentral:rRNA from 1 species